GAACGGCAGCACGGGGGCAACCCUGGUGGCGAGUGGCGAACGGGUGAGUAAUACAUCGGAACGUGUCCUGUCGUGGGGGAUAACCAGUCGAAAGACUGGCUAAUACCGCAUGAGAUCGAAAGAUGAAAGCGGGGGACCGCAAGGCCUCGCGCGAUUGGAGCGGCCGAUGUCGGAUUAGCUAGUUGGCGGGGUAAAGGCCCACCAAGGCGACGAUCCGUAGCUGGUUUGAGAGAACGACCAGCCACACUGGGACUGAGACACGGCCCAGACUCCUACGGGAGGCAGCAGUGGGGAAUUUUGGACAAUGGGGGCAACCCUGAUCCAGCCAUGCCGCGUGUGUGAAGAAGGCCUUCGGGUUGUAAAGCACUUUCGGACGGAACGAAAUCGCGCGGGUGAACAUCCCGCGUGGAUGACGGUACCGUAAGAAGAAGCACCGGCUAACUACGUG
rnacentral:rRNA from 1 species